GUGUAUCAGUACAUGGCAUAUCAAUAAGCGGAGGAAAAGAAACUAACAAGGAUUCCCCUAGUAACGGCGAGUGAAGCGGGAAGAGCUCAAAUUUGAAAUCUUCAAGGGUUUCCCUUGACGAAUUGUAGUUUAAAGAAGUGUUUUCUGUUAGAGAGGUGGCAAAAGUUCUUUGGAAUAGGACAUCAUAGAGGGUGAGAAUCCCGUAUUUGACCGUUACUUUCCUAGCUGUGUGAUACACUUUCAAAGAGUCGGAUUGUUUGGGAAUGCAGUCCAAAAUGGGUGGUAAAUUUCAUCUAAAGCUAAAUAUUGGCGAGAGACCGAUAGCGAACAAGUACCGUGAGGGAAAGAUGAAAAGAACUUUGAAAAGAGAGUUAAACAGUACGUGAAAUUGUCAAAAGGGAAGCGUUUGACACCAGUGUUGUUUAGUUGAAAAUCAAUUCAAUAGUUUUUGAUUCUAAGUAGUAUUGACUUCAUCAGCUUGCUGCUUUCUUCUCAGAAAUUAUUGAAUGCACUUUUCAGUUAACAAGUCAACAUCAAUUUCUUUUGUUGUAAAAAGGGUAAGAGGAAGGUGGCUUGCGCUUCGGCUCAAGUGUUUAUAGCCUUUUAUCUCCUGCAAUCGGAGAGAUUGAGGUCUGCAGCGUAGAUCCUUCGGGGUUAGAUACAUUUGUGCUAAGCUAUAGCCUUGUAUAGACAACUUGUUGACUAUGCUCAGUCAUGUAGCUUACUCGCUGAUGCUAUUUUACCUACGCUUAGGAUGUUGACAGCAGUAUAGACUGU
rnacentral:rRNA from 1 species